rnacentral:lncRNA from 1 species
GAGUAGUUAUUUUCCUACUUCCAGAAGCAUCAACAAGGCAGUUAAUCACCAUAUCAAUGGUGAUAGCGUAACUGUAGGUGAGGGUAGCAUUUCUAGAGAUUUCUGAAAAUUAUUCAUAAUUUCCAGGUGCUGCAUUUCAUUACACUUUUCCUCACCCUGCUACAUCCAGGCCUUUGUUUCCAGGGUGGGCUGGAAUCCUUUAAAACAAGCACUCAUCUAUACUAUUAUUCCUUCCUUCCUCUUUGGAGCUGUGAAAGGCCACCGGGGCCUGUCUCCACGACUCUCCCUAUAAAGCCUGAACUAUGUACCUAUUUCCAGAACUGGGAUUUGGCCUCAAGAUUUAUCACCUGCUAAAGGUACUGAACAUGUCACCAAGAAGGCUGACUGAAGGCAGCAACAUGCAAGAGGAAGGCCAGGGGAUCUCAAGGAAUGACAAGUCCUUGUGGCUAUCAGUCAAAAACCUCUUCCCUCUGAAAUCACAAAGGUAUCAGCAGUCCUGGCUUAGGAUGAUGGAGGAAGCCAUGAAGAAUUCAUCGGGAUGAGACUGUAACUUGCAAAGCUGAAAUGUUGGUGUCUUAUUUUUUCUUUACCCCCACAGUUGCCAGUAUUUUAAAGAACAUUUCCAAAAGCAACAGGGAGUGGGUGUCAGAGAGUUGUAUUUGCUUUAUAGUCAGCUUUACAUAUAACAAAUGAGCAUUCCAUUUCUCCUGGGAAAUAAGUAAAUUGUAUUGAAAUUGAAACAGUGGCAGGAAAGUAGUAAGUGGUUUGACUUGAACCACAGAGGAGAUUACAAGAGAACAGAGAUUAAAAUGCAGAAACCCUUACAUCAUGCCAGAGCUUUGUGUGCUGCACCUCCUUGUCUGCCUGCAUGGAAUUGCUUCUGCUUUCUUCGCAGGCAAACCAAGCUGUGCUGGAAAAAUGGAACCUAUGAGUAAAUCACGAAACAGCACAGUACCAUGUUUAUGACCCAGGUGAUAGGUUUUGUGUUUGCAGUUUGUUUUGCUGUAGUUUAUUUAUAUUUAUUGCUAAAUUUUUCUUCAUACAAAUAGAGUGUUUUCUUAGAACUAUAUUUGAGACUUUCCGUUUCUACACUCAGUUCAUAUUUUUCCACACAUCAUAUUAAAAAAAAACAAACUCCCUACCCUUUUGCCAUUAUUAUCUCCUGAUUAAUUGUAGGUGAUGCAAUAGCUGAUGUUACUUAUUACUGCACUGAUGCAGUUUGCACUGGUAUGGAAUGGUCAUACAAUUAUUGUGCACUUAUUCAGAAAAUAUUUCUUCUAAUUUAUUAUUGAUUGAUAUCCACUGAAUUCCUUUUCAUUUGCAAACACUUUAUUGUGUUUUAUCAGCCUGUAACAUGUUCCAUACAAUCGUAUUGACUGAAAAAUGAAAAGGAUGUCAAAAGAUUCCUGAACGAAAUGUUUCCUUUAGAUCUGACUAGGCGUGAUAACUGAAUUCUAGAUAGCAGUUUUUAUGCCUUUUAGAAGAUAACUGCACAUUUAUUAAAUGUUGAUAUUUGUGACAAACUCUAAUGAGUCUCAUGUU